rnacentral:rRNA from 1 species
CAAUAGCGUAUAUUAAAGUUGUUGCAGUUAAAAAGCUCGUAGUUGGAUUUGUGGCGUACGGUGUGUUCCGGGCACUUGUUGUCUGAGUAACCUGCUGUUGCCAUCCUUGGGUGGAACCUGUGUGGCAUUAGGUUGUCGUGCAGGGGAUGCCCAUCAUUUACUGUUAAAAAAUUAGAGUGUUCAAAGCAGGCUUAUGCCGUUGAAUAUAUUAGCAUGGAAUAAUGAGAUAGGACUUUUUUGCUAUUUUGUUGGUUUGCGCAAAGAGGUAAUGAUUAAUAGGGACAGUUGGGGGUAUUCGUAUUCCAUUGUCAGAGGUGAAAUUCUUGGAUUUUUGGAAGACGAACUACUGCGAAAGCAUUUACCAAGGAUGUUUUCAUUAA